rnacentral:rRNA from 1 species
GAUGAACGCUGGCGGCGUGCCUAAUACAUGCAAGUCGAGCGAACAGACGAGGAGCUUGCUCCUCUGACGUUAGCGGCGGACGGGUGAGUAACACGUGGAUAACCUACCUAUAAGACUGGGAUAACUUCGGGAAACCGGAGCUAAUACCGGAUAAUAUAUUGAACCGCAUGGUUCAAUAGUGAAAGACGGUUUUGCUGUCACUUAUAGAUGGAUCCGCGCCGCAUUAGCUAGUUGGUAAGGUAACGGCUUACCAAGGCAACGAUGCGUAGCCGACCUGAGAGGGUGAUCGGCCACACUGGAAGUGAGACACGGUCCAGACUCCUACGGGAGGCAGCAGUCGGGAAUCGUCCGCAAUGGGGGAAAGCCUGACGGAGCAACGCCGCGUGAGUGAUGAAGGUCUUCGGAUCGUAAAACUCUGUUAUUAGGGAAGAACAAAUGUGUAAGUAACUGUGCACGUCUUGACGGUACCUAAUCAGAAAGCCACGGCUAACUACGUG